UGAAGCCCCCAAAUAGGUCUGUUUAACUCAUUUUUGUCUGAUUUUAUUAGGUCACCUGGUGGCACGGUAGGGCCGUGGGCCUCCCCACAGUGGCCUUCAGGCAGUUCAGCUCCCCCCACAAUUGCCAGGUGCUACACGGUGUGCAGAAGAAACACGCUUGGUGAUGACUCCUGGCUUGGAAAAAGUAAACAUGUCUCAAGGCAGCAAAGUCUGUCAGCAUUGUAGGGGGAGAAAGGUUUUCUCCUUCAAAAGAGCGUAGAAUGAGUGUUCUCUGUGUGAGAGUGUGCUUUUCAGAUAUAAGUGCAAGGAAGGCCCACUAUCUGUGUGAAUAAGAAAGGUCAGAGGGGUGAACCAGCGCCGUCAGUGCAAACAGCGGGAUAAGACCUUGCUGCCUCUGCUGCCAGUGCAGAAAGGAGAGGCAGAGGCUGCCCCAUCCUGUUUGCUAGAGCAGCUCAGCCACUUUCAGUGCCUUGUGAAGGAGGAGAGUCAUCCUGAGAUGACAAAGCAGAAAAUAUGGAGUAGGAAUAAGGCAGUGGGACAGCAUGGCAAAUCAGUGGAAAAAGUGGAGAAGGAAUCCAGUAGGUGAGAGGUAGAGUUGCUGUCUGCUUCCAUGGACACCUCACUUUUGAUCUGUUAUUUCCAUCCUCUUUUUGAUUCCCUUCUAUCUCUCCUUAUUUUUUUUCCGGGGGUUGUAAGGUGGGUGGUGAAGAUGAGGCCAGAUUCCUCUUGAUUUGCCUCAGGCCAGUGCAGGGAGGUGAGCAUUGAGGGGAGCAGCCCCUUCAUAAGCAGAGACUUGCAAAUAGCUCCUCUUCUGCAAAGGGGUUUUAUUAUUCUCUUCUGGAUUAAUGGUGAAGAACCACAAAAUGAAUGAAAGAGUGUGAGCAUGUCCAAAUGGCUGGUGGGCAUUUAAUAACAGGAAAACUGUAAUUGCAAACAGAAGAUUGCAGGGGUUGGAGUAGUGCCUUUUCCCAGUUGGGCAGCUGGGACUGGUGCUUACUCCUCCAGUUGGCAGUCAGACAUCCUCCACCGCAUGCUCAGGACAGGCAGGACAUCAGGGUCCCAUGGAUUUGGG
rnacentral:lncRNA from 1 species